GAAAUGCGAUAAGUAGUGUGAAUUGCAGAAUUCAGUGAAUCAUCGAAUCUUUGAACGCACAUUGCGCCCUUUGGUAUUCCUUAGGGCAUGCCUGUUCGAGCGUCAUUUAACCCCUCAAGCUCAGCUUGGUGUUGGGCGUCCUUGUCCCUGGCCCCCCCCUGGGGCGGCGGGGACUCGCCUCAAAUCGAUUGGCGGCCGGUACGUUGGCUUCGAGCGCAGCAGAAACGCGAACUCGGGGCCCAGCGCGCCGGCUCCCACAAGCCACAUCUAUUUUUUGACCUCGGAUCAGGUAGGGAUACCCGCUGAACUUAA
rnacentral:misc_RNA from 1 species